GUAGGUGAACCUGCGGAAGGAUCAUUAUCGAGCUUGGGUCCUCUGGGCCCCAUCUCCAACCCUUGUCUAUUCUACCACGUUGCUUUGGCGGGCCCGUCCCUCACUGGACCGCCGGGGACUCACGUCCCCGACCCGCGCCCGUCAGUAGCCCCCUUAAAACUCUCUGAAUCGUGACGUCUAAGCAAGCUAUAAUGACUAAAACUUUCAACAACGGAUCUCUUGGUUCUGGCAUCGAUGAAGAACGCAGCAU
rnacentral:misc_RNA from 1 species